rnacentral:rRNA from 1 species
CCUACGGGAGGCAGCAGUGGGGAAUAUUGCACAAUGGGCGCAAGCCUGAUGCAGCCACGCCGCGUGAGUGAAGAAGGCCUUCGUUAUGUAAAGCUCUUUCAGCGGGGAAGAAAAUGCCGGUACUUGUGACAUAAGCUAUGGCCAUUAUCGGGCCAGCAGCCGCGGUAAUACGCAGGGCGCAACCGUUAUGCGGAUUUACUGGGGGUAAAGGGAAUGUAGAUGGCUGGGCAAGACUGAAGUGAAAGGCGGGGGCUCAACCCGAGAACUGCACUUGAAACUGUAAGGCUGGAGUGCAGGAGAGGUAGGUGGAAUUCCUGGUGUAGCGGUGAAAUGCGUAGAGAUCAGGAGGAAUACCGGUGGCGAAGGCGGCCUCCUGGAC